CAUUAUUACACCCUCCUGUGGAUGUUGAUGCUGAAGUGAAGUUAGCUUUGGAUUCCAAUCUUGCUUUUCAUGGAGAUGAAGAAAUGGCUCGGAAAAUGAAAGAAACGGGUUUAGAAAGUUAUAACCGACAACAGCUACCGACAAGUAUAAAUUAAAGGCAGACAAAACACAGUUUCUCAUUUCAAUGAAAAAAUUUCCCCAAUGUUCUUACAAAAUAUCUCUCAAACAGAUAAACCUUUAAAAAUAAUCAUUAUUAUUUGUUGAUUUUUGCCG